rnacentral:lncRNA from 1 species
UAUUUUCGAAACAUAUACAAGUGGGAUCUAGUUUUAUUUGGCUUAUCGCAUAAAACACACUGAUAUGAACGGAAUUAAAAAGAGAUAUACCAUUUAAAAGUUAUACCAUUUUAUGACAUCAGUAGUAUUGGGAAGCGCAUGGAAAGUGAAUUGAGUAUGGCGUGUGAUUUUAUCAUCAAAAAAGAAAAUAGGCGUGUAUUAUUUUCCUACGUUUCUAAAAUAAUUAGUUUCUAAAAAAAAUACCGAUGAAUCUUAAAGGAAUGUUACUCACAGUUGUUCUCAAAAUUUAAAUUAGGUGCAAGUUUAAAUUUGUGAAAAAUAAAAGGUAAUGUUAUAUAACUUAGUAUGCUUAACUUAUUCCUUAAAGUUAUAUUGUGUAACUUAGUUAGUGUAAGUCAUGUGCGUAGCGGAAAAGAAAACGUAAUGUUGUAUAACUUAGUAUGCUUAACUUAUUCCUUAAAGUUAUGUUCCUUAAAGUUAUGUUGCGUAACUUAGUUAGUAUAAGUUAUGUGCGCAUGCUUUUUAAAAACAAAAAAAAUGUUACAAAUGAAUGUUAAAAUAAAAUGUUACGCGUUUUUUAAAUAAAAAAAUAACGUUAUGUGUGUCAAAGUGCGCAAAAAGAGAAAAAAAGAUGUGUACGUCCCAUUCUUAAAAAAAAGAGUCCAUACAGAUUAGGUUACCAAAAAGGAAACAAGCGGG